CGGGGCGUAGCGCAGUUUGGUAGCGCGCUUGGCUUGGGACCAAGAGGUCGUGGGUUCGAGUCCCGCCGCUCCGACCA
rnacentral:tRNA from 1 species